GAAAUGCGAUAAGUAGUGUGAAUUGCAGAAUUCAGUGAAUCAUCGAAUCUUUGAACGCACAUUGCGCCCCUUGGUAUUCCAUGGGGCAUGCCUGUUCGAGCGUCAUUUGUACCCUCAAGCUCUGCUUGGUGUUGGGUGUUUGUCCCCGUCUCCGCGCGUGGACUCGCCCCAAAGUGAUUGGCAGCCGGCGUACUGGUCCCGGAGCGCAGCACAUGUCGCGCAAACGAGUGCCUUGGUACGGCGGCGUCCAUAAGCCCCUCUCUCACGCUCUUGACCUCGGACCAGGUAGGGAUACCCGCUGAACUUAAGC
rnacentral:misc_RNA from 1 species